GGUGGAAACAGCAGAUGCAUCGAAAAGGACUUGUUGGAUACAGAAGAUGCACUCCACUGGACUUGUUGAAUACAGAAGAUGCACUCCACUGGACUUGGUGGAAACAGUAGAUGCACUCCUCAGACUUGGUGGAAACAGCAGAUGCACCCAACUGAACUUGGUGGAUACAGAAGAUAUGGACCCAACAGGACAUGGUGAAUACAACUGGAGGAGACUUGCCUGAUGAUGUUGACCUUCCAAACAAGACAUAUCAAAGGAGAUAAUUGACACUGAUCAGGUCUACUGGUCAGAGACGAAAAGGCUUGCGAUUGUAAACAAGCUAGGGCAUGACAUGGUGGAAACAGCUGGAGGAGGUAGGGCCAAUGGAUGCUAAUCUUCCAAGAUGUUGAAACAGCAGAUGUCCUCAACAAGACCUGCACCCAACUGGAGACUGAUGGAAACAACUGGAUGAUGCAUAGCCAGUACUUGCUGAUCUUCCAAGAUGUGGAAACAGCAAAUGCACCCAAGAAUACAUGGUGAAAACAGUAGAUGAACCCAAAAGGACCUGAUAGAAACAACUGGAGGAUGAAUAGCCAAAGGAUGCUGAUAUGACAUUUAUCAGCUGCAGCCAACAGAACCUUGUGGAAACUGCUGGAAUAGAAAAGCUUGAUGAACCUCUUUUAAGAUGGAAAUACAGCAAAUACUUCUAAAAGGACUUAGUAAAAUAAAUCUUGAGGAGGCAAGGCCAUUAUGAAUCUUGAGGCAAACUUGAUGGACAAUGAGUUUCCAAUAUGUGAAAACACCAGCUACACCUAAAGAAAUUGGCGGAAAGAAGUGAAAACAGCAAAUACUUCUAAAAGGACUUAGUCUUGAGGAGGCAAGGCCAUUAUGAAUCUUGAGGCAAACUUGAUAAACAAUGGUUUUCCAAUAUGUGGAAACACCAGCUACACCUAAAGAAAUUGGCAGAAAGAAGGGAAAACAGCAAAUACUUCUAAAAAGACUUAGUGAAAUAAAUCUUGAGGAGGCAAGGCCAUUAUGAAUCUUGAGGCAAACUUGAUGGACAAUGAAUUUCCAAUAUGUGAAAACACCAGCUACACCUAAAGAAAUUGGCAGAAAGAAGGGAAAACAGCAAAUACUUCUAAAAAGACUUGGUGAAAUAAAUCUUGAGGAGGCAAGGCCAUUAUGAAUCUUGAGGCAAACUCGAUGGACAAUGAAUUUCCAAUAUGUGAAAACACCAGCUACACCCAAAAGGAAUUGGUGGAAACAAUAAACACAGACAAGCUUGAUGGACAAUGAUCUUCAAAAUGUGGAAACAGGAGAUAUCCCCAACAAGACCUGGUGGAAACACCUGGAGGACAAUUUAUGCCUGAUGGAUGUGGACUUUUCCACCAAGACAUACCACAGUGGAUAACUGAUACUGAUCAGAAAAUCAAAGAAACUUUUAGAAGGAACAUCCUUGAGAUCAUAUGUGUGGAUGAAGAAGCAGGACUUAAUCAAUGCAGGAUUAAUCCACAUCUUCAAAGCACUGAUGUAAAUCCAUUUUAUAUACAAUGUUUUUUUCAAAGACUUUUUUAAAAAUAUAAAUUUUUGUAAAGGGUGUCCGAAUUAUGUUAGGGUAUGGGGUCGCCCAUUCGGACACGUGGGUUCUCUACGGGUACUCCGUCUUCCUCCCACACUGACCCCCUGCUUUUCUUUUUCUUCAUCAUUAGCUAAUUAUAUUCAUAUUGUUAAGAUGAAGUAGUUGAAGGCUAGUUGUAAGUAGGUUUUUACGAUACCCUGGGGCAUUACUGGCUGGAACUUAAGUUCCUUCACCGCCACGGUUGCCAGGCUGGCCCGGGGAGGAGAAGCUGAAAGGGACUAGUUGGAGGUUGCUUUGUCUUUAUCUUUUUAUUAUUAUGCCAAUGAGAUAACAGUUUGUUAUUGUAAUUGUUUUGAUGAAGUUAAAUAUGUUCCAGAUGUAAUGAUUGUUAAA